rnacentral:rRNA from 1 species
GAUGAACGCUGGCGGCGUGCCUAAUACAUGCAAGUCGAGCGAAUGGAUUAAGAGCUUGCUCUUAUGAAGUUAGCGGCGGACGGGUGAGUAACACGUGGGUAACCUGCCCAUAAGACUGGGAUAACUCCGGGAAACCGGGGCUAAUACCGGAUAACAUUUUGAACCGCAUGGUUCGAAAUUGAAAGGCGGCUUCGGCUGUCACUUAUGGAUGGACCCCCGUCGCAUUAGCUAGUUGGUUAGGGACGGCUCACCAAAGCAACGAUGCGUAGCCGACCUGAGAGGGUGAUCGGCCACACUGGGACUGAGACACGGCCCAGACUCCGACGGGAGGCAGCAGUAGGGAAUCUUCCGCAAUGGACGAAAGUCUGACGGAGCAACGCCGCGUGAGUGAUGAAGGCUUUCGGGUCGUAAAACUCUGUUGUUAGGGAAGAACAAGUGCUAGUUGAAUAAGCUGGCACCUUGACGGUACCUAACCAGAAAGCCACGGCUAACUACGUGCCAGCCGCCGCCGUAA